rnacentral:lncRNA from 1 species
UUUUUUAUAAUUAUUUUAGGUUAAAAUUUUAGAGUUAUCGUUUUGCCCUUUUUACAAAUGAUCGAAUGCCUGACUUUUGAUCAUCAAAUGCUCAUUUGGGCAUAAUCCAUCUAGGAAUCCUUAUACCGCACAUUUAUUGAAAGGUUUGAGAUGUAGCUAAGAGGAUUUUAAAGUUUAGGACCAUGCUGCACAUUUUUGAAAGGUUUAAAACUUCUACUACAAAUUUCCCUAAUAAUAAUGUUCAUAAAUUUUCACAAGACGUGAUAGAGGAUGGUUCUCACUUCUAUAACUCAGUACGACUUUUUCAACCAAUUUACGACCAUCAAAAAAGUUUCACAUCAAUUAUCUUCUUUUAUCAAAAUUAUAACCACUUAUAAAGCGUAAACAUUAAUAAACUUACAAGGUUGCAUAUAAAUAGAAUAACAAGAAUUUGACUUGAAGAUUUGCUUACAAAUUUGACACAAAAUAUAUUUCAACAAUGUUGUGUGUACAGACAGCAUCGUUCACAGAAAUGCCACAGAAUAUUCACAAUGAGGGGGUGAGUGAUUUUUUUGGGAUUUUUUUAUUACACCAUGAGACCCUCCCAUGUGAGUGUCUGGAGCAAUUUUGUGAGAAAAAUUUCUGCGCAAACAUUUUUGAAUAUAUUUACCCUAUCAAUAACGAUUGGUGACCUGUAGCAAUUUUCUAUGUUGGAUGCAAUCCACUAAAAUCGUUACAAGUUUUACCUGAAAAUUUUGUUGAAACCAUUGGCAAAUAAAUUUUGUUUGUGUUUGUGCAUGUAGAAUAAGAUCAAGAAAUCGCAAAUUGAAUCUUAUUGUUAAUAAAUUUAAAGUCUGCUUCAUGAAUUCUUUUCUCAUUCCCUGCAAUUCGUCCAUAUUUUACUAAAACAUAUUCCAAUACAACAAAUCUUUUGCUACACAAACAUACCAUAUUAACUUUUUUCUUCGUUUCUAUCUACUAAUUUUUUUACCAAACUCUAUGAAAAUUGCAUCACAUUCACUCUUGUAAAAGAACAGAUACCUAGAUCAAUGUAAAACAUGUCUAAUCUUUUUUAUCAUUGUCCACUCACUAAUCUUCAAUCAAUAUUCGUCCACUUAUUAGUACAUAUGAUUAUUGAUACUAUAAAAAAUCAUACCUGUGAUCUUGACAAUCGAGAAUAAGCACGAAUAAGAUCUUUCGGUACCUGAAACAAAGGCGUUGAGUUGUGUCCUCCUCAUCCCUUCGAUGCUUAAAUUAUAGAGAGAAUUUGUGUGUGAGGCUAUAA